rnacentral:rRNA from 1 species
UACGUAGGGCGCAAGCGUUAUCCGGAAUUAUUGGGCGUAAAGAGCUCGUAGGCGGCUUGUCGCGUCGACUGUGAAAACCCGCGGCUCAACCGCGGGCCUGCAGCCGAUACGGGCAGGCUAGAGUUCGGUAGGGGAGACUGGAAUUCCUGGUGUAGCGGUGAAAUGCGCAGAUAUCGGGAAGAACACCCGUGGCGAAGGCGGCUCUCUGGGACGGUACUGACGCUGAGACGCGAAAGCGUGGGGAGCGAACAGG